rnacentral:rRNA from 1 species
UACGGGGGGAGCAAGCGUUGUUCGGAUUUACUGGGCGUAAAGGGCGGGUAGGCGGCCACCGCAAGUCAGUUGUGAAAUCUCUGGGCUUAACCCAGAAAGGUCAACUGAUACUGCGGGGCUAGAGUGCAGAAGGGGCAACUGGAAUUCUCGGUGUAGCGGUGAAAUGCGUAGAUAUCGAGAGGAACGCCUGCGGCGAAGGCGGGUUGCUGGGCUGACACUGACGCUGAACUGCGAAAGCUAGGGGAGCGAACGGG